AAGUUAAAAAUAAAGAUGAAAUAUUCUUGUCAUCAACUAAUAGGGCCUAAGGUUUGUCCCAUGGAACGCUCUUUAAGGCCCAAAUACAAAAAAAAAAAAAAAAAAGCCCACAGAAACGGCCUAGGGUUGGUACUGUGGAGAGCGCUCUCGCUUAUAGUUUCUCAUCACCGCCACCAAUCAGCUUUUUCUCUCCUCUCGGUUUCCUUGGAGCUUGAUCUUUCCCUUGAAAUGGUUGCUUUCCGGUUUCACCAGUAUCAAGUGGUUGGGAGAGCCCUCCCUACAGAGAAAGAUGUGCAGCCAAAGAUCUACAGGAUGAAGCUAUGGGCUACAAAUGAAGUCCGAGCCAAGUCCAAGUUCUGGUACUUCCUGAGGAAGCUCAAGAAGGUUAAGAAGAGCAACGGACAAAUGCUUGCCAUCAAUGAGAUUUUCGAGAAGAGCCCCACGAAGAUCAAGAACUACGGUAUCUGGCUGCGUUACCAGAGCAGAACUGGGUACCACAACAUGUACAAGGAGUUCCGUGACACCACUCUCAACGGUGCAGUGGAGCAGAUGUACACUGAGAUGGCUUCUCGCCAUAGAGUGAGGUUCCCUUGCAUUCAGAUCAUCAAGACCGCUACAGUCCCUGCGGGUCUGUGCAAGAGAGAGAGCACCAAGCAGUUCCAUAACUCCAAGAUCAAGUUCCCUCUUGUUUUCAGGAAGGUCAGGCCACCGACCAGGAAGCUCAAGACUACGUACAAGGCCUCAAAGCCCAACCUUUUCAUGUAAAACCAAUCUUUGCAUGAUUGUCUUUGUCCUUUUUCAACCAGAUCAGACUAGGUUUCUUGUUCCUCAGUCUGAACAAAAACACCAUUUGGAGUAUGUCUCAUGAAAUUUGUACGUUUGCAUCUUUUGAACUUUUAUUAUCUAGGUAUGAUUAAAAUAUUAAGGUUUUUCAUCA